UACGUAGGGGCCUAGCGUUGUCCGGAAUUAUUGGGCGUAAAGAGCUCGUAGGCGGUUCGGCAAGUCGGAUGUGAAAUCUCCACGCUUAACGUGGAGGGGCCAUUCGAAACUGCCGUGACUCGAGUCCGGUAGGGGAGUGUGGAAUUCCCGGUGUAGCGGUGAAAUGCGCAGAUAUCGGGAGGAACACCAGUAGCGAAGGCGGCACACUGGGCCGGUACUGACGCUGAGGAGCGAAAGCGUGGGGAGCGAACAGG
rnacentral:rRNA from 1 species